rnacentral:rRNA from 1 species
GAUGAACGCUGGCGGCGUGCUUAACACAUGCAAGUCGAACGAUGAAGCCCAGCUUGCUGGGUGGAUUAGUGGCGAACGGGUGAGUAACACGUGAGUAACCUGCCCUUGACUCUGGGAUAAGCCUGGGAAACUGGGUCUAAUACUGGAUAUGACUUCUCAUCGCAUGGUGGGGGGUGGAAAGAUUUAUUGGUCUUGGAUGGACUCGCGGCCUAUCAGCUUGUUGGUGAGGUAAUGGCUCACCAAGGCGACGACGGGUAGCCGGCCUGAGAGGGUGACCGGCCACACUGGGACUGAGACACGGCCCAGACUCCUACGGGAGGCAGCAGUGGGGAAUAUUGCACAAUGGGCGCAAGCCUGAUGCAGCGACGCCGCGUGAGGGAUAACGGCCUUCGGGUUGUAAACCUCUUUCAGUAGGGAAGAAGCGAGAGUGACGGUACCUGCAGAAGAAGCGCCGGCUAACUACGUG